CAGUCGCCGCGGUAACACGAAGGGGGCUAGCGUUGUUCGGAAUUACUGGGCGUAAAGCGCACGUAGGCGGAUUUUUAAGUCAGGGGUGAAAUCCCGAGGCUCAACCUCGGAACUGCCUUUGAUACUGGAGAUCUUGAGUUCGGAAGAGGUUGGUGGAACAGCUAGUGUAGAGGUGAAAUUCGUAGAUAUUAGCUAGAACACCAGUGGCGAAGGCGGCCAACUGGUCCGAUACUGACGCUGAGGUGCGAAAGCGUGGGGAGCAAACAGGAUUAGAUACCCGCGUAGUCCCUGUCUCUUAUAA
rnacentral:rRNA from 1 species